AUACGGAGGGUGCAAGCGUUACUCGGAAUCACUGGGCGUAAAGCGCGCGCAGGCGGCUAUUUAAGUUGGAUGUGAAAGCCUAUGGCUCAACCAUAGAACUGCAUCCAAAACUAUUUAGCUAGAGUGUGGGAGAGGAAGAUGGAAUUAGUUGUGUAGGGGUAAAAUCCGUAGAGAUAACUAGGAAUACCAAAAGCGAAGGCAAUCUUCUGGAACACUACUGACGCUGCGGCGCGAAAGCGUGGGGAGCAAACGGGAUUAGAAACCCUAGUAGUCC
rnacentral:rRNA from 1 species